rnacentral:rRNA from 1 species
CCUACGGGAGGCAGCAGUGAGGAAUAUUGGUCAAUGGCCGGAAGGCUGAACCAGCCAAGUCGCGUGAGGGAAUAAGGCCCUAUGGGUCGUAAACCUCUUUUGUCAGGGAGCAAAGGCGUCCACGUGUGGACGAGAGGAGAGUACCUGAAGAAAAAGCAUCGGCUAACUCCGUGCCAGCAGCCGCGGUAAUACGGGGUAUGCGAGCGUUAUCCGGUUUUAAUGGGUUAAAGGGGUGCGUAGGCGGAGUGUAAAGUCAGCGGUAAAAUUUCGGGGUUAAACCCCGUCGUGCCGUUGAAACUGGCGCGCUUGAGUGAGUGAGAAGUAAGCGGAAUGCGUGGUGUAGCGGUGAAAUGCAUAGAUAUCACGCAGAACGCCGGUUGCGAAGGCAGCUUACCGGCGCUCAACUGACGCUGAGGCACGAAAGUGCGGGUAGCGAACAGGAUUAGAUACCCGGGUAGUC